UACAGAGGUCCCAAGCGUUGUUCGGAUUCAUUGGGCGUAAAGGGUGUGUAGGUGGCGCCGUAAGUCGGGUGUGAAAUCUCGGGGCUUAACUCCGAAACUGCAUUUGAUACUGCGGUGCUUGAGGACUGGAGAGGAGACUGGAAUUCACGGUGUAGCAGUGAAAUGCGUAGAUAUCGUGAGGAAGACCAGUGGCGAAGGCGGGUCUCUGGACAGUUCCUGACACUGAGGCACGAAGGCCAGGGGAGCAAACGGG
rnacentral:rRNA from 1 species